CUGUGGCUGGCGCCGAGGGGGAGUGGGCGCCGUGGGGUCGGGGUGGUGGUGUCUGCACGACUCUCGGACUUGGUUUGAGGGAAGGAGAGGCAGCCAUGGCUUCCAAGCGCAUCACCCAGGAAACCUUUGAUGCUGCAGUGAGGGAGAACAUUGAGGAGUUUGAGAUGGGCGCUGAGGAGGCCAUUCGAGAGGCUGUGGAGCAGUUUGAAUCGCAAGGGGUUGAUCUGAGCAACAUUGUGAAGACAGUACCGAAAGUAUCCUUGGAUGGCCUCCAGGAGCCCACACAUGAUGUCCUACAGGUAGGAGCCAUGGUCUCCCAAUCACGGUGGAACAAU
rnacentral:lncRNA from 1 species